rnacentral:misc_RNA from 1 species
AAUCUUUGAUGCUGUUGUGGGAGCUGCUUCAGCAGCGAUGAGGCUUUAACGAGCAAGCUCCAUCGCUGCUGAAGCAGCUCCCACACCAUCCAAU